rnacentral:rRNA from 1 species
UUUAAAUGGCCGCAGUAUACUAACUGUGCAAAGGUAGCAUAAUCAUUAGUCUUUUAAUUGAAGGCUGGUAUGAAUGGUUGGACGAGAUAUUAACUGUUUCAUAAAAAUUUAAAUUAGAAUUUUAUUUUUUAGUCAAAAAGCUAAAAUAUAUUUAAAAGACGAGAAGACCCUAUAAAUCUUUAUAUUUAAAUUAUUAUAAUUGUGAAGAUAUAUUUUGUUAUAUUAAUUAAUAAUAUUUUAUUGGGGUGAUAUUAAAAUUUAAUAAACUUUUAUUUAUUUUAAUCAUUAAUUUAUGAAUAAUUGAUCCGUUAAUAACGAUUAAAAAACUAAGUUACUUUAGGGAUAACAGCGUAAUUUUUUUGGAGAGUUCAUAUCGAUAAAAAAGAUUGCGACCUCGAUGUUGGAUUAAGAAAUAAUUUUAGGUGUAGCCGCUUAAAUGUUAAGUCUGUUCGACUUUUAAAUUCU